UGCCAGACUCCUACGGGAGGCAGCAGUGGGGAAUAUUGCACAAUGGGGGAAACCCUGAUGCAGCAACGCCGCGUGAGUGAAGAAGUAUUUCGGUAUGUAAAGCUCUAUCAGCAGGGAGGAAAAUGACGGUACCUGAGUAAGAAGCCCCGGCUAACUACGUGCCAGCAGCCGCGGUAAUACGUAGGGGGCAAGCGUUAUCCGGAUUUACUGGGUGUAAAGGGAGCGUAGACGGCGAUACAAGUCUGAAGUGAAAGCCCGGGGCUCAACCCCGGGACUGCUUUGGAAACUGUGUUGCUGGAGUGCUGGAGAGGCAAGCGGAAUUUCUAGUGUAGCGGUGAAAUGCGUAGAUAUUAGGAAGAACACCAGUGGCGAAGGCGGCUUGCUGGACAGUAACUGACGUUGAGGCUCGAAAGCGUGGGGAGCAAACAGGAUUAGAUACCCUCGUAC
rnacentral:rRNA from 1 species